rnacentral:sRNA from 1 species
CGAUAGUAUCGGAUUUCUCAAGAGUGGUGCUGUAUGACAGUUUUCGAAACGCUUAUGUUUGCUGUAGCUUUUUCAAGUUUGAUUGUUGCAGUACUGUCAUUUAACCAAAAAAAUGAUCCACCCUUGAGUUAACGGCUCUGGUGGAUUACUUCUACCUUAUGCUGACCCCCUUGCAGGGAGCCUUAGCUAUUGCAAACCGUUUGGUGUUCGAGUACCAGACG